ACGCUCGACACCUACGGAGGCAGCAGUCGGGAAUAUUGCGCAAUGGAGGAAACUCUGACGCAGUGACGCCGCGUAUAGGAAGAAGGUUUUCGGAUUGUAAACUAUUGUCGUUAGGGAAGAAAAAGGACAGUACCUAAGGAGGAAGCUCCGGCUAACUACGUGUCAGCAGCCGCGGUAAUCUGAGCGGGCUGGCAAGGC
rnacentral:rRNA from 1 species